GGACGGGGGGGGCAAGUGUUCUUCGGAAUGACUGGGCGUAAAGGGCACGUAGGCGGUGAAUCGGGUUGAAAGUGAAAGUCGCCAAAAAGUGGCGGAAUGCUCUCGAAACCAAUUCACUUGAGUGAGACAGAGGAGAGUGGAAUUUCGUGUGUAGGGGUGAAAUCCGUAGAUCUACGGAAGGAACGCCAAAAGCGAAGGCAGCUCUCUGGGUCCCUACCG
rnacentral:rRNA from 1 species